rnacentral:rRNA from 1 species
UACGUAGGGUGCAAGCGUUGUCCGGAAUCAUUGGGCGUAAAGGGCGCGUAGGUGGCCCGGUCAGUUCGUGGUGAAAGCGCGGGGCUCAACCCUGCGUCGGCCAUGAAUACUGCCGCGGCUGGAGCACUGUAGAGGCAGGCGGAAUUCCGGGUGUAGCGGUGGAAUGCGUAGAGAUCCGGAAGAACACCGGUGGCGAAGGCGGCCUGCUGGGCAGUUGCUGACACUGAGGCGCGACAGCGUGGGGAGCAAACAGG